GGCCGCGUACCCGCUAAAUUCCAACGAAACCGGACCAUGAAGUGCAACGAACAAACUCGACCUUUGUCACAACUUUGCCAUUCUGAAUGUCCAACGAUGCGUAGACAUUGUACGACGCGCGUGUAACGCUCUACCCAUUCGUAUGCCAAUCGUAGAAUCAAUUAGAAGCAACGCUCGAACAUCUCGCCUUCUUAAUAUCGCCGACGCUAUUCAAGUCUAGCCGAGUGUUUAGACAAAAGAUUUAUUUGUUUGCGCGCACACGCACGCGUAUCGCGAUAGUAUCCGUAGCGGCACAUGAGUAGAGGACAAGUCAAAUCAUGUUGUCGUUUUGCCUCGGAGUAUCAAGAUCGUUAGGACACACGUAACGUAAUGAUAAAUAACCUCCGGGCAAAACAAUGUCGCCACUACGUACAACCGUCGAACAAAGACGAAUUUGAAUUUUUCGGCUCUCCCGCGAUCAGUAUAAAUAAACGGACGCGAUCGCGAGCGAAUCAGUACAUACCGAGUAUCUGGGAAUUGUCGAUCAAUAUGUGCGAGUUAUCAGCGAGCAAUAAUACAAUGUCUUGACCAAUACGUUUGUGCAAACUCCCCUACAAGUGCUCUAUAUUGUGAACCGGAAUAAAAGAGAACGUUUAUACGUGGAUAGAAGCUAAAAGAUUAAUACAAGGAACAUUUUGGUCAGAAAAACCAGCCUAUCAAGUAUACGUCGAAGUGUUCAUCGUCGAACAGGAUGCGUAUAUUCCAACUAAUAUAUUUAUUAGACAGAAAGGAACACUUCUGGUCGAGCUUUCUCGACCUUACCCCAAGGAUGUGCAGAUCGACAUAAUUUACUUGUAAUUGAAGUCGCAGAUGCAGAAGGAGGUUCCCAGAAAUUCGAUAACUUCCUUUUAACAGUUGAUCGACGGAGUUCAUCGAGUGAAGCAGACAAAAAAUGAUAAGCGGGAGCGUCGAUUUAAAAAUUAUGGCUUUGAAGCUAUGGGAACCUCUGCGAAGUCAAAGUAAAAGUAUUCCCGCUGCAGAACCCGAAAAUCUA